rnacentral:snoRNA from 1 species
AUCCUUUUAUGAUGCUUUUUAUGAUUCCUAAAUGUUGUUUGGGUUUUCAAGUUCAUGUGUAAUAAGUGCCUCUCUUGAACUUUGUUACAACAUGAGUACAUUACCAGCCUGAGG